UAAGUACUCCCUCCGUCCCAAAUUACCUGUCUUAGAUUUGUCCAGAUACAGAUGUAUCUAGACACAUUUUAGUGUUAGAUACAAAGGUGUCUAGAUACAUCCUAGACAAAUCUAAGACAAGUAAUUUAGGACGGAUGCAAUACUAU
rfam:Triticum aestivum genome assembly, contig: Triticum_aestivum_CS42_TGACv1_scaffold_406824_5BL